rnacentral:rRNA from 1 species
AGCAGUCGCCGCGGUAAUACAGAGGGUGCAAGCGUUAAUCGGAAUUACUGGGCGUAAAGCGCGCGUAGGUGGUUUGUUAAGUUGGAUGUGAAAUCCCCGGGCUCAACCUGGGAACUGCAUCCAAAACUGGCAAGAUAGAGUAUGGUAGAGGGUGGUGGAAUUUCCUGUGUAGCGGUGAAAUGCGUAGAUAUAGGAAGGAACACCAGUGGCGAAGGCGACCACCUGGACUGAUACUGACACUGAGGUGCGAAAGCGUGGGGAGCAAACAGGAUUAGAUACCCCUGUAGUCCCUGUCUCUUAUAC